UUGCUGUUACUUGCGUCCCUUUUCCAACCGCAUAAAAUGACUAGUGAAUGCGCGGGCCCCUGCGGGUACCCCAUAUGGGAUGGCUCCCAACGCGGCGAUUGCAUUGGUUGAGUGUUCUAUCCCGCCACCUGGAUAGCUAGACCCGGUUGUGGCCAUAGCUGUUUAUUGCCCUGUUGUUAAAGGUUUCGGCCACUCCCAGAGGAGCCUGCGUGCCAUUAGCUAGUUGGUGCGGUAACGGCGCACCAAGGCGAUGAUGGCUAGGGGGUCUGAGAGGAUGAUCCCCCACACUGGGACUGAGACACGGCCCAGACUCCUACGGGAGGCAGCAGUGAGGAAUCUUGCGCAAUGGGGGCAACCCUGACGCAGCCACGCCGCGUGCCGGAAGACGGCCCUAUGGGUUGUAAACGGCUUUUAGGUGGGAAGAAUCUCCCGAAUUCGUUCGGGACUGACGGUACCGCCAGAAUAAGCACCGGCUAACUCCGUGCCAGCAGCCGCGGUAAUCGGAGGGUGCAAGCGUUGUCCGGAAUUAUUGGGUGUAAAGGGUGCGCAGGCGGAAGCCUACGUCGAGGGUGAAAGACGGCCGCUUAACGGUCGCAGUGCCUUCGAUACGGGGUUUCUUGAGUCCGGAAGAGGUUGGUGGAAUUCGUGGUGUACCGGUGAAAUGCAUAGAGAUACGAAGAACACCGGUGGCGAAGGCGGCAACUGGUCCGGACUUACCUGAGCACAAGACGUGGGAGCCAACAGGAUUAGUCCUGGUAUCACCUGUAACAUGAUCUAUUGCGCCCCAGGGCCGUAUCAUACCCUACACACUGGGAUCCUCAAGAAAAUAAGAAUACGGCCCCACCGG
rnacentral:rRNA from 1 species